GGGCCCGCACAAGCGGUGGAGCAUGUGGUUUAAUUCGAUGCAACGCGAAGAACCUUACCUGGUCUUGACAUCCACAGAACUUUCCAGAGAUGGAUUGGUGCCUUCGGGAACUGUGAGACAGGUGCUGCAUGGCUGUCGUCAGCUCGUGUUGUGAAAUGUUGGGUUAAGUCCCGCAACGAGCGCAACCCUUAUCCUUUGUUGCCAGCGGUUCGGCCGGGAACUCAAAGGAGACUGCCAGUGAUAAACUGGAGGAAGGUGGGGAUGACGUCAAGUCAUCAUGGCCCUUACGACCAGGGCUACACACGUGCUACAAUGGCAUAUACAAAGAGAAGCGACCUCGCGAGAGCAAGCGGACCUCAUAAAGUAUGUCGUAGUCCGGAUUGGAGUCUGCAACUCGACUCCAUGAAGUCGGAAUCGCUAGUAAUCGUAGAUCAGAAUGCUACGGUGAAUACGUUCCCGGGCCUUGUACACACCGCCCGUCACACCAUGGGAGUGGGUUGCAAAAGA
rnacentral:rRNA from 1 species